UGAGGAAUAUUGGUCAAUGGGCGAAAGCCUGAACCAGCCAUGCCGCGUGCAGGAAGACUGCCCUAUGGGUUGUAAACUGCUUUUAUACAGGAAGAAACACUCGGACGUGUCCGAGCUUGACGGUACUGUAUGAAUAAGCACCGGCUAACUCCGUGCCAGCAGCCGCGGUAAUACGGAGGGUGCAAGCGUUAUCCGGAAUCAUUGGGUUUAAAGGGUCCGUAGGCGGAUUAAUAAGUCAGGGGUGAAAUCCAACAGCUUAACUGUUGAACUGCCUUUGAUACUGUUAGUCUUGAGUUAUAUGGAAGUAGAUAGAAUGUGUAGUGUAGCGGUGAAAUGCAUAGAUAUUACACAGAAUACCGAUUGCGAAGGCAGUCUACUACGUAUAUACUGACGCUAAUGGACGAAAGCGUGGGGAGCGAACA
rnacentral:rRNA from 1 species